rnacentral:rRNA from 1 species
AAUCCCAUUAAGAAAUUUUUGGUUGAUGUAGUGUUUAGGGCCUGGCUUCCUCUUCGUUAGUUAAGUUGAAGUGGUCUGAAAUGACCCGCCAUAGAGGGUGAUAGCCCCUUAAAUGUACGCUAGAAAGAGUUGAGCUAGAGUCCCAGAGUACCGUACCCUGGUUUGGGUGCGGAAAUUCGGAAGCCACCAACUUCCAAGACUAAAUACAUCUCAAGACCGAUAGCGCACUAGUACGGUGACGGAAAACUGAAAAGUACCCCGCAAUGGGGGUGAAAAGUGCCUGAAACCAGACGGUUACAGACGUGUGCAGCCUGAAAGAGUAGAGUCCUUUCGAAGGAAACCACUGUGAAGUGGCAGUACGAGAGAGGAGGAUCAGGGUUGCAUAUUCCGUCUCGAAACACGGACCGGGGAGUUUACAGUUGUGGCGAGCCUAAGGGCCUGAAAACCCGUAAGCAUAGGGAAACCAAUAUGCGCGCAAUUACCGCAAGGUAACCAGGCGCAAGGUCUGAAAGGGCCUGGAGUCACAGCUGUGCAUACUAGAAACCAGACGAUCUAUCCCUGGGCAGGAUGAAGCUGGGCGAAAGCCCAGUGGAGGUCCGCAAGGGUGCUGACGUGCAAUUCGUUCCCCAGACCUGGGGAUAGGGGCUAAAGACCAAUCUAGUCUGGUGAUAGCUAGUUCCUUCCGAAGUGGGCCUGAGCCCAGUCGUGAGCGAGGUUGCUGGUGGGGUAGGGCACUGAUUGAAAAGUAAGGGGUCGAAAGACCCUCCUUUUCUCUCAAACUACGAAUCCACCCGCGCCGUAGACCUCAUGAAACGGGUUACAGGGGGUAAGCUCCUGUACCGAGAGGGGGACAACCCAGACUGAGGUUAAGGUCCCCAAAUGCUGGCUAAAUGUCAAACAAAAGGGCGUCGUUAGCCUCAGACAGCGGGGAGGUAGGCUCAGAAGCAGCCAUCCUUUAAUGAAAGCGUAACAGCUCACCCGCCGAGGCUAACGGCCCCGAAAAUGGACGGGGCUAAGCCAGCUACCGAUACCUCAGAACGCAGCUUAGCGCUGCGAUGGUAGGAAGGCGUCCUGGCUGGGCAGAAGCUGGGCCGUGAGGUCCAGUGGACCGGUUAGGAUUGCAAAUCCCGGUGGUAGUAACAGCAAAGAGAAGUGAGAACCUUCUCCGCCGAAAGGGCAAGGGUUCCCCGGCAACGGUCGUCAGCCGGGGGUAAGUCGGUCCUAAGAUAUGACUCAACCGAUCAUGUCGAAAAAGGGAAUCCGGUUAAAAUUCCGGAACCAUAGAGGUACACGCGGUAACGCAAGAUUAGUGCUAACGCUUCUGGGUAAGUUAUGCAAGGCUGUCGCCUUGUUUAACCGUAUAAACCUGGGGAGUGCCGUAAUGGCGAGAACCAGGCGAAAUCGGGAAUAGCAUCCCGUUUUAGGGAGGUUUAGCUGAGCUCUGGAGCCAGUGAAAAACGCACUAGUAAGGAUCCUCUGUGACCGUACCCAGAACCGACACAGGUGUCCCUGGGCGAGAAACCUAAGGCGUGUCGGGUAUACACUAAUGCGAGGGAACUCGGCAAAUUAGCCCCGUACCUUUGGUAUAAGGGGUGCCUGCUUUUUCAAUCUUUGAUUGUAAGGGCAGGUCGCAGUGACAAAGGGGUCUCGACUGUUUAAUAAAAACAUAGGAAACUGCAAGAGCGAAAGCUUGUGUACAGUUUCUGAAUCCUGGCCAGUACAGGUACCUCAAACCCGGGUCCAACUGGGCUAAGGGCCUGCAAACGCCGGGAGUAACUCUGACUCUCUCAAGGUAGCCAAAUGCCUUGUCGGGUAAGUUCCGACGUGCAUGAAUGGAUCAACGAAGGCCCCACUGUCCCCGCGUAGUACCCGGUGAACCCACAUGACGUGGACGAACAGUCCACGAUCUCCCAGCGGGAAAAGAAGUCCCUGUGGAGUUUUACUGCAGCCUGCCGCUGUAAUACUGUUGUGGAUGCAGAGCGUAGUCGGGAGCUGUUAAUCUUGGUUUCUCCGGGAACCAGGGGAGGCGAAAAUGGAACACCGACUCUUUAUAAUAGUCUUUCUUACCAGCGCCGCGAGCGUUGGAACAACGGUUGGUGGGCAGUUUGGCUGGGGCGGAACGCAUAAGAAAAAAUAUCGAAGGCGCCCUAAGGUGGGCUCAGGCGGGACAGAAACCCGCCGUAGAGUGCAAGGGCAAAAGCCAGCCUGACUGAAUCCUUAACAAUAAGGGAUGCAGAGGCGAAAGCCGGGCUUAGCGAUCAUCUAUGUCCCCAUUGGUGGGGGCUAGAUGCGUCAGAAAAAUUACCCUAGGGAUAACAGGCUUGUCGCGGGCGAGAGUCCCCAUCGACCCCGCGGCUUGGUACCUCGAUGUCGGCUCUUCCUAUCCUGGCCCUGCAUAAGGGGCCAAGGGUGAGGCUGCUCGCCUAUUAAAAGGGAACGUGAGCUGGGUUUAGACCGUCGUGAGACAGGUCGGACUUUAUCUGCUGGGAGUGUGGCUGCCCGGCGACUGCCUUGUCAGACAACCGGUUAACUAGAGGCCACAGCGUCCCGUUCCUCUCGUACUGGGGACCCUUUCCCCUCAGGCAGCCUACACUCC